rnacentral:rRNA from 1 species
GAGGGUUGCUGGAGGUAUCAGAAGUGCGAAUGCUGACAUAAGUAACGAUAAAGCGGGUGAAAAGCCCGCUCGCCGGAAGACCAAGGGUUCCUGUCCAACGUUAAUCGGGGCAGGGUGAGUCGACCCCUAAGGCGAGGCCGAAAGGCGUAGUCGAUGGGAAACGGGUUAAUAUUCCCGUACUUGGUGUUACUGCGAAGGGGGGACGGAGAAGGCUAUGUUGGCCGGGCGACGGUUGUCCCGGUUUAAGCGUGUAGGUGUGUGUUCCAGGUAAAUCCGGUUCACUUUAACACUGAGGCGUGACGACGAGGCACUACGGUGCUGAAGCAACAAAUGCCCUGCUUCCAGGAAAAGCCUCUAAGCAUCAGGUAACAUCAAAUCGUACCCCAAACCGACACAGGUGGUCAGGUAGAGAAUACCAAGGCGCUUGAGAGAACUCGGGUGAAGGAACUAGGCAAAAUGGUGCCGUAACUUCGGGAGAAGGCACGCUGACACGUAGGUGAAGUGAUUUACUCAUGGAGCUGAAGUCAGUCGAAGAUACCAGCUGGCUGCAACUGUUUAUUAAAAACACAGCACUGUGCAAACACGAAAGUGGACGUAUACGGUGUGACGCCUGCCCGGUGCCGGAAGGUUAAUUGAUGGGGUCAGCGCAAGCGAAGCUCCUGAUCGAAGCCCCGGUAAACGGCGGCCGUAACUAUAACGGUCCUAAGGUAGCGAAAUUCCUUGUCGGGUAAGUUCCGACCUGCACGAAUGGCGUAAUGAUGGCCAGGCUGUCUCCACCCGAGACUCAGUGAAAUUGAACUCGCUGUGAAGAUGCAGUGUACCCGCGGCAAGACGGAAAGACCCCGUGAACCUUUACUAUAGCUUGACACUGAACAUUGAGCCUUGAUGUGUAGGAUAGGUGGGAGGCUUUGAAGUGUGGACGCCAGUCUGCAUGGAGCCGACCUUGAAAUACCACCCUUUAAUGUUUGAUGUUCUAACGUGGACCCGUUACCCGGGUUGCGGACAGUGUCUGGUGGGUAGUUUGACUGGGGCGGUCUCCUCCUAAAGAGUAACGGAGGAGCACGAAGGUUGGCUAAUCCUGGUCGGACAUCAGGAGGUUAGUGCAAUGGCAUAAGCCAGCUUGACUGCGAGCGUGACGGCGCGAGCAGGUGCGAAAGCAGGUCAUAGUGAUCCGGUGGUUCUGAAUGGAAGGGCCAUCGCUCAACGGAUAAAAGGUACUCCGGGGAUAACAGGCUGAUACCGCCCAAGAGUUCAUAUCGACGGCGGUGUUUGGCACCUCGAUGUCGGCUCAUCACAUCCUGGGGCUGAAGUAGGUCCCAAGGGUAUGGCUGUUCGCCAUUUAAAGUGGUACGCGAGCUGGGUUUAGAACGUCGUGAGACAGUUCGGUCCCUAUCUGCCGUGGGCGCUGGAGAACUGAGGGGGGCUGCUCCUAGUACGAGAGGACCGGAGUGGACGCAUCACUGGUGUUCGGGUUGUCAUGCCAAUGGCACUGCCCGGUAGCUAAAUGCGGAAGAGAUAAGUGCUGAAAGCAUCUAAGCACGAAACUUGCCCCGA